CCAUGCUCACACAAUUGAUUAAACACACAAAUCAAUCAGCAUGCAAUCUACAUCAUCAUUUUCCAUCAACAAAAUUCACACAUCACAUUAAAAAUAACCAAUUUACUCCCGCCCUAUAACCGUAAGGGCUCUGAUACCAAAUUGAAAGAACCUAUCCCAUUUUUUUCUUUUUUUAAACAUGCAAACCGGAUUAACCCAAUUAAUUCAAACCAGCUAAACCGGCCAUUAUAAUUUAAAUCUAUUAAACCAAGCAAUCUCAUUAAAGUAAACCAACAAUAUUAACCAGCGGAAGACUUAACCAAAAAUCCAAUAAAACAAUUCCAUUAAACCAACAAGUUCAACCAAACAUUAUUCCAAAACAUGAUCAUCCUAACAUGUUUCUAAAUUCCAUUCUAACACCCUAACAAAUCCAACAAUAAUCUAAAACACCAAUUGAUCUGCAAUUCAAUUGGUGACAACUUGUCCUGUGGGAAGGUUGUUAAAGGGUGAGGACCUGGAUUCGAGUAACACCAGACGCACCAAUAACCUCUCUGGUGGGCCAGGAGGCUGCGAGCAAGUGAGAUGCGCAGUUUAGGCCCACAGGAGAGAGGUUAGGGUCGAUGCGCUGCAGCGCUGUAAGGAUGCCAUGUGGCAGGAUGUGCCACAUGGCGGAUGAUCCCACAGGACGGGUUGUUACAUAUGCAGUUCAAUUGAUGACAACUUGUCCUAUGGGAAGGUUGUUAAAGGGUGAGGACCUGGGUUCGAGGAACGCCAGGCGCACCAAUAACCUACCUGGUG
rnacentral:lncRNA from 1 species